GCUGGUACAAAUGAUGACUUGACUUUUUUCCCCAUCAGAUCGACAGUGUUGAUGGCUCUGAAUACUUGCCAGUUAGUUCUGAUAAGACCAGC